rnacentral:lncRNA from 1 species
GAUUGGUGCAUUUAUAAUCCUUUAGCUAGACAAGGAAGUUCUCCAAGUCCCCACUAGAUUAGCUAGACACAGAGCACUGAUUGGUGCGUUUACAAACUUUGAGCUAGACACAGGGUGCUGAUUGGUGCGUUUACAAACCUUGAGAUAGACACAAAGUGCUGAUUGGUGCAUUUACAAACCUUUAGCUAGACAUAAAAGUUCUCCAAGUGCCCACCCCACUCAGGAACCCAGCUGGCUUCCCUAGUGGGUCUGGUGUAGGUCCGCUGGCGGAGCUGCCAGCCGGACACACGCCCCACGCCCGCACUUCUCAGCCCUUCCGCGGUCCAUGGGUCCGGCCGUCGUGGAGCAGGGGGCGGCGCCCGUCGGGGAGGCUCCAGCCGCGCGGGAGCCAACGAUCUCCUCCGGGAGUGGUGGGCAGCUACUGUGAAAGGCCUGGUUCAAAAACCUCACAGCGGUUGUUUUCAGAGUUGUCCCUCCUGUGUACUCUCAAAGCCCCAGAAUGAAGCAAAGCAUCCUCCCUUUUCAAACUGGCACUCUUCCCCAACCUUGAGGACCACUAGGCACUUUGUUUUUAAAGCCACAGUUACUUUUAUGGAGAAGUAUUGUUAUGAAAAAAGGGAGGCAUCUGAGGAGUGGAAACAGAGAAAUGAGUGACUGAGAUCAGUGUCUUAUUUUGACCAUCUUUUCCAAGUGCUGCAUCCUCCCAAACACAACAUGAACUCAACACUUAAUAAAGCUGCAGUCCUACGUGUUUUAUUUGUGUAAGAAACUAAGUCCAAAACAUUCUGCAACGCGAGUAAAAAUUCACUUCUGCAAUAUAUUAAACACACAUGAACACAGUGUUUUCAGUUUGAAGCAAGAUACUGUGGACUCUAAAAUAUCCAGUAACUAUAUUUAGUAUGAAGAGUGGAUGUUUAUAUCUAGUUGGCCAACACAUUGAUUCUAGUCAUCCACUUAGGAAGAAGAGGGUGUGGCAAAUCUGCAGCCUAGGAAAACACAAACUCAGUUUCUUCGUAAUAGAUACUGAUUCGUUUUGUUUACAAAGAUUUUAAAAAACAGUUAUGCAUUCAAAUACUUUAAAAACGAAAAUAACUUUAUGGUUUGAUUUAUUUCCGUUGAAUUUUAAAGAACUUUGUAGCAAGGUUUAAGAUUGCUUAAAGAGCCUGAGUUCGGAUUCCUAAAAUAGUGCAUUGGGAAGGAAGCAUAAAUCUCUAGGAUAUUUUCUUCACAUUAUCUUCAGACAUGACCAAAUGAAGUGUAACUACCCUUACACUCUAAGAGAAUUAAACUAUAAUGACAUAUGUGGCAUGAAACUUUAGUCUUUCUCUGGAAAAAACGGGAGGAGGGAAGGUUUGGAAGAACUAGAGGAUACUAGUUUCAUCAUGAAUUUGGUGAUUUGUUCCAAAGUAAAUUGCAAUAAAAAUGAGGGGUGGGGAAAAAUGAUGGAAAGAUAGCUGUGAAGAGCUUUACUUAAAAUUGUCUUAGCUGUUUAGCUAGGAACUGUAAUUAGAAGGACUGGAGGAUGUAUUCCGCUGGCUUUAUUCUCCAGGCUCUACGGGCCCUCCAAUUUGAAUAAACCUGGAAAACUCUCCUGACCUCUAUUUCUUUGACAAAACAUCUUUCUUUCGUGGUGACUUCCAAGGGAGGAAAUUGGUACCCCAAGCUAGCCGUGAGGACCCCACCACAUGCCCAAGGCAUUGAACGCCAGACUCCCUAAGGACUCAGGGAUUCUAAAAGUCCCCUCUCAAAUCAGCGCCUAAAAUACGCCUGUACAGCCACGCGCUACCGCUCCCAGCAGCGCGGGACUUCGGGACAGGGACAAGGCGGACGCUAGGCGUGCGCCCCCGGGGAGCCCCCACGUUCCGGCCACGCCCACCCUGGCCCUGGGCAGCCGCGCCCGGGAGGCCUGGCACCGAGGCGGGCGGGUCCCCGAGUUAGGGGCCCGCGAGUCGGCUGGGCGCCCCCGCCUCUGCCCGGGCAGUGCCCCGCCGAGUGCUCAGAACUGCGGACAAAUAGGCUGGAGGGCCGGGCCGCGGAAGGCGUUCCCACACCGGCCAGUCUCCGUCCACCAGGAAGCAAACUCCUCG